ACACCACGAAGGAUUAUCUUUUUAGAAUAUAAAGCAGUAUUCGUUUCUAAGAUCGACCAAUAGAAGAACGUUUAUUUUCACACCUAUUUUUUGAUUGGUGCGUUUUGAAUGCAGAUGUUACGAACAAAAAGAGAAAGAAAGAGUAUCGUAUUAUGCCUAACGUAACGACAUCAAUUACUUGACGGUUGAAAAGUGAACUACAUAUGAAAGUUACGAAAGAGUCGGAUAACAAGUUGUUAAAGGCACUAUUAAAACAUGUUUAUAAUUUGGCAUCUUAUUGAUUAAAACUAUGGAACGUUCGUUUAUAUUAUCGACGGAGCAUCUAACUUGCAACGUUCAGCGCCAUAUUUACAGAAGAAAGACGAACUAUCAUCAUAGGUUUUAUUAUAUUACGAGGGCGUUAAAGAGGCAAAGCCAUCCAUCCAUCAUUCCUCGUCAACGAUGCAUCAUACUCUUCAAACAUAAAUCUGCUUGAAGUAAGGCAAUCGUCGAUAGGAAGAAUUCAAAUAUCGUCGCGCGUCGGUUGUCAUCUUUCGAAAUCGUUCGUUCGAGGUACAUUUUUCCCACAAUCUUUUUGCAAGAACGUCGAUGUAGGUAUACACGUAGAUGAAAAAUGUGGAUAUUUAUAAAGGUAAUAUAAAGGUCGCUGUCAUAAAGUUUGAAAAACGUUAUCUUCUAAAGAAUGUUCCAAAUUUGUUGGAAACGACCUACUUUGUUCCUCGAUGGAUUUGGUGAAAAUUAAAUUUGAAAGGGAACUAGGUUGUCAGGGAAGGAAUACGUAAAAAGGGCAAGUCCAUUUGUUCAUUGUUAAACCAUUAAAAUCUAUUAUCAAAGUUUAAGUUCUUCUCACUGAAACGAUACGUGAUUCUCAAUUUUGUGUGUGAUUGAUCCACUUCAAUUUUACUAUUUGCAGGAUCUCGAUAAUAUCGUAUUAAUUUGGAAAAGUACACUCGUUUUCUAUAGAACUGUCGAGUGGAAGCUUUUCGCGUAUUACCUUUUGAAUCCGAUACGAAUUCACGACCUGGAUCUCAGAUGUAACAGGUGUAUGUACAUAUCGUAAAUACAAUAAUAUCGCGACAUGAAAAACGUAAAAAUAUCGAACUUAAUAGGCCAGGAGAUAUGAAUAAUCUUUCUGUACAGUAUCUACUGUUUGCUUUUUCUAUCUAUUUUAAUAUCUACGUUUCUUCAAACGUUUUACUGAGAAUAUCACGAGAACGAUUGUCACUUGUAAUCGUGGAAAAUAUUGGAUCUCUAAAUGAGACGUAACAAAUAUUCUCCGAAUUCUCAAACGAUUCAAAAUGAAAAAAUAAUUCUCCGUCAUUCCUCAUCGUUCUUUUAUUUUAUUCAUUUAUUUUUUAAUAUUCUAAUAUGGAUUAAAAAAAAGAAGAAAAAAAGGGCCGAAUUCACAAACAAACUUUGUAAUUAACGUAACGAGUAAUAUGAUUGAUUAUUCUGAAAAUCAUCGAACGAAAGAAAGAAAGUACCAGAGUGAAAAUUCGUGUAUGAUUCAAUUGUAAGCGAAGGUUACAGCAACUCGGUAACCCAAUUAACGGUGCAUGCAGAAAGGACAAGAGAUAUGGUGAGCCGUUCAUCGUAAGAGGAUGAUGAUUAGGGAUCAAGUGAUGACGAUGUGUAAGGUAAUAAUCGAUAUCAUUGCAACAUUUGGUAAUAAAAUCUUUCGUCGGUUUGCGAGGACGUUCGGCAUAGUGUUAUACCUAGAGAUCAGGAUCGAGAUCAAGAUGGAGAAAGAAAGAAAGAAAGAAAGAAGGAAAGACAGACAGAAAGAGAGAGAGAGAGAGAGAGAGAGAGAGAGAGAGAGAGAAGGGUGGUUAGCAGCUCGCACGGCCGAUACAUGUAGGUCAAGUAAUUCGAGUGGUAAUUUAAGGAGCACCAACGGAGUUGCUAAGAACGCUCUUCGUAACUUUAGCUCGGUUGGUUUCACAAACACUCGGCUGGUCUCUCAGGUAAAAGCACUGUAGACCGAGGGCGGUCACAUGUGUGUACAUAUAUAUAUAUAUACAUACGUACGUACAUACAUACAUACAUAUAUAUACAUAUAUAUACAGUUAUUGGUAUGUACUUGUGCGUAUAUAUGUAUAUAUAACUAUUGCAGAGGGUAUUCGCGAAGAACGAUACCAAAGUGAUGGAGGGAGAGAAAGGAGGUGGAGACCGAUUCCUCCGAUAAAAGCCACGUCGCCUGGCACCGUACGUCCAUUUCCGAAGCAAGGAAGCGAUUGAGAGCGCAAACGGGGGCGAGACACCUUGCACCGAGAAGAUUUCUCGACUUCUCUAUUUCUUCGAGGAUUCAACGCGCGUGCUAGGCGACCGACGCGACGGAUAGAGUAACCUUUGUUCUUCUUCUAGACUCGACAUCGGAGGAUUCUAUCUUUAU